GAAAUGCGAUACUUAGUGUGAAUUGCAGAAUUCAGUGAAUCAUCGAGACCUUGAACGCACAUUGCACCUGCAAGUCCUCUUGCAGGUACGCCUGUUUGAGUGCUGGUCAGACGACGGCAGAGGGCGGAGCCACGGCCCCGCCCGCCGGACCUGAGCGUCCGAGGCCCCCCUCGGUCGCUUCAAGCGCAUCGGGCUCCGAAGUCGAGAGGCCCAACCCCUUCGGUCGGAAGAUGGCGUGCGUGCUCGCUUCGGUGCGAGAGAGUCGCCAGGACCGGCCGAUACGCAGGGGGUGGAGACCGCGGCCAGAGCUCUGGGAGAGGAGGCGGAGGGCUCGAGCCCUCCCUUGCCCACCGAGAGACCCAUCCAGCCUCAAAUCAGACGAGAACACCCGCCGAACUUA
rnacentral:misc_RNA from 1 species